UACGUAGGGCGCGAGCGUUGUCCGGAAUUAUUGGGCGUAAAGAGCUCGUAGGCGGCUUGUCACGUCGGGUGUGAAAGCCCGGGGCUUAACCCCGGGUCUGCAUUCGAUACGGGCUAGCUAGAGUGUGGUAGGGGAGAUCGGAAUUCCUGGUGUAGCGGUGGAAUGCGCAGAUAUCAGGAGGAACACCGGUGGCGAAGGCGGUUCUCUGGGCAUUACCUGACGCUGAGGAGCGAAAGCAUGGGGAGCGAACAGG
rnacentral:rRNA from 1 species